GACGAACGCUGGCGGCGUGCUUAGCACAUGCAAGUCGAACGAUGAAGCCCUUCGGGGUGGAUUAGUGGCGAACGGGUGAGUAACACGUGGGCAAUCUGCCCUUCACUCUGGGACAAGCCCUGGAAACGGGGUCUAAUACCGGAUACCACUCCUGCCUGCAUGGGCAGGGGUUGAAAGCUCCGGCGGUGAAGGAUGAGCCCGCGGCCUAUCAGCUUGUUGGUGGGGUAAUGGCCCACCAAGGCGACGACGGGUAGCCGGCCUGAGAGGGCGACCGGCCACACUGGGACUGAGACACGGCCCAGACUCCUACGGGAGGCAGCAGUGGGGAAUAUUGCACAAUGGGCGAAAGCCUGAUGCAGCGACGCCGCGUGAGGGAUGACGGCCUUCGGGUUGUAAACCUCUUUUAGUAGGGAAGAAGCGAAAGUGACGGUACCUGCAGAAAAAGCGCCGGCUAACUACGUGCCAGCAGCCGCGGUAAUACGUAGGGCGCGAGCGUUAUCCGGAAUUAUUGGGCGUAAAGAGCUCGUAGGCGGUAUGUCACGUCUGCUGUGAAAACUGGAGGCUCAACCUCCAGCCUGCAGUGGGUACGGGCAAACUAGAGUGCGGUAGGGGAGAUUGGAAUUCCUGGUGUAGCGGUGGAAUGCGCAGAUAUCAGGAGGAACACCGAUGGCGAAGGCAGAUCUCUGGGCCGUAACUGACGCUGAGGAGCGAAAGCAUGGGGAGCGAACAGGAUUAGAUACCCUGGUAGUCCAUGCCGUAAACGUUGGGAACUAGAUGUAGGG
rnacentral:rRNA from 1 species